rnacentral:rRNA from 1 species
GUGAGGAAUAUUGCGCAAUGGAGGCAACUCUGACGCAGCCAUGCCGCGUGCAGGAAGAAGGCGCUACGCGUUGUAAACUGCUUUUAACCGGGAAGAAACCCCAGGACGUGUCCUGGGUUGACGGUACCGGAGGAAUAAGCACCGGCUAACUUCGUGCCAGCAGCCGCGGUAAUACGAAGGGUGCAAGCGUUAUCCGGAUUCAUUGGGUUUAAAGGGUGCGUAGGCGGAGCGUUAAGUCAGUGGUGAAAUCCUGCAGCUUAACUGUAGACUUGCCAUUGAUACUGGCGCUCUUGAGUGUGCUUGAAGUGGGCGGAAUGUGCCGUGUAGCGGUGAAAUGCUUAGAUAUGGCACAGAACACCAAUUGCGAAGGCAGCUCACUAAGGCGAUACUGACGCUGAGGCACGAAAGCGUGGGGAUCGAACAGGAUUAGAUACCCGUGUAGUCC